rnacentral:rRNA from 1 species
GACGAACGCUGGCGGCGUGCCUAAUACAUGCAAGUAGAACGCUGAAGGAGGAGCUUGCUCUUCUGGAUGAGUUGCGAACGGGUGAGUAACGCGUAGGUAACCUGCCUGGUAGCGGGGGAUAACUAUUGGAAACGAUAGCUAAUACCGCAUAACAUUGACUAUUGCAUGAUAGUCAAUUGAAAGGUGCAAUUGCACCACUACCAGAUGGACCUGCGUUGUAUUAGCUAGUUGGUGGGGUAACGGCUCACCAAGGCGACGAUACAUAGCCGACCUGAGAGGGUGAUCGGCCACACUGGGACUGAGACACGGCCCAGACUCCUACGGGAGGCAGCAGUAGGGAAUCUUCGGCAAUGGACGGAAGUCUGACCGAGCAACGCCGCGUGAGUGAAGAAGGUUUUCGGAUCGUAAAGCUCUGUUGUAAGAGAAGAACGAGUGUGAGAGUGGAAAGUUCACACUGUGACGGUAUCUUACCAGAAAGGGACGGCUAACUACGUGCCAGCCGCCGCCGGUAACAC